UACGUAGGGGGCUAGCGUUGUCCGGAUUAUUGGGCGUAAAGAGCGUGUAGGCGGCCAGGUAGGUCUGCUGUGAAAACUCGAGGCUCAACCUCGAGACGUCGGCGGAAACCAUCUGGCUAGAGUCCGGAAGAGGAGAGUGGAAUUCCUGGUGUAGCGGUGAAAUGCGCAGAUAUCAGGAAGAACACCCGUGGCGAAGGCGGCUCUCUGGGACGGUACUGACGCUGAGACGCGAAAGCGUGGGGAGCAAACAGG
rnacentral:rRNA from 1 species